rnacentral:rRNA from 1 species
GAUGAACGCUGGCGGCGUGCCUAAUACAUGCAAGUCGAACGCUGGAAAUCUAGCUUGCUCGAUUGAAGGAGUGGCGAACGGGUGAGUAAUACAUAAGCAACCUACCCACGAAGACUGGGAUAAUCUCUGGAAACGGGGACUAAUACCGGAUAGGUAAUCGGAAGGCAUCUUCUGAUUAUUAAAGGUUAAAAACACUGGUGGAUGGGCUUAUGGCGCAUUAGUUAGUUGGUGAGGUAACGGCCCACCAAGACGAUGAUGCGUAGCCGGCCUGAGUGGGUGAACGGCCACAUUGGGACUGAGACACGGCCAAGAAGCCUACGGGAGGGAGCAGAAGGGAAUUUUCGGCAAUGGGGGAAACCCUGACCGAGCAACGCCGCGUGAGUGAGGACGGCCUUCGGGUUGUAAAGCUCUGUUGUAAGGGAAGAACGGUAGAUAGAGAAUAUCUAAAUGACGGUACCUUAACAGAAAGCCACGGCUAACUACGUG